rnacentral:lncRNA from 1 species
GUUAAAGACAAAAAAUGUAAUUAAUUUAAAUUAUAGUAGGAUAAAAUAUUGUGUUGCUGGAUCAACAUUUGAUCUGUUCCUUUGUUUUUUAGAAGUCUGCUGAGUUUUGAAAUUUAAAACCAUUAAAUAAUAUUGAAUGGGUAAAGCUAUAUAAUAGAUGUGGAUUUAUAUUUCAGCAAAGGUAUAAGAACCAUAAGGCUUUGAAGUAAGGAGGGAUUUUUAAAAAUCUUUGAACUUGGAAAGAAUGUAUUUUAAUAUUUUAACUGGGUUAGGAUUGCCUGAGCACAUUUGAGUUUGAGAGGAAUGCAAGUGACCAUGGACUGGAGAUAAAGAUCAGAGUAAUUUGUGAGAGAAGGUCAUAUUAUCGACCCUGAUAUUCUACUCACCUCCAGCCUGCUGCCCUGGAUAAACUUAGAAGUAAUUAUUUUUGUUGCAUGACAUAAGCCUAUAAAAUUAUGUUUUUGUUUAUUUCCAUUGCUGUGUGGAAUUUCCCAAAUAUGUAUUUUAUGUGAUCUUUGGAAAUUCCAGCUUACCUUUUGGGUUACAAACCUUAGAAAUAAUGCCAAUAGAUGGCACAUUACCUAGAACACCAGCUUAAUCUGAAAGACUGAGGUAAAAAUGAAGGUAAAUGGGAGCGGGAUUGUGUAAUUGAAAACACUAGAAUGUGAACAGUUGCUAGUACAAUGAAAAGAAAAAGAAGGAUCAUAUCAGGGCCCAUGUGUGAAUCCUGGUUUGCUAUAUUCAACAUAUCUAAUAAUAAUGUAGCUAUUACUAUUACUGACAAUAUUUGUAGUAUUUGUUUCAAAAAUAUUAUAGCAAAGGUCUAAGAAAUACCUGGAUAUAUCACUAUAUAAGUUUUUUUGUUUAAUAUUAGCUUUAAUACAGCUUUAAGUUUGAUUAAUUAAAUGAUUUACAUCAAUGUGUUUUUAGUACCAAUUGUUUUUUACAUUAAUAUUAUUAACAUUUAGAAAUACUAAAAUGGCUUAGAUACCCAUUGGUUCUAAAGGAGUAUUUUGAAAGAAAAGAUAGACAAUGGGGUAUUAGAUGCAAAAUUGCAUAUUCUCAGGUAUGUGGACAUAUUUUUUAAGAUUUCAAAUUGUAGAAGACUUCAGAAAUGAUAGAUGAUAUCCUUGGGAAUCUGCAAGAAUAAAAAAGAAAAUGGAGUUGGUUGAAAUUAAUAGAGAAUUUGGAAAUUAAAAAUAAGGUGAUUAGAUGGUAAACC